CCUAAGGCGAGGUCGAAAGACGUAGUCGAUGGAUAACAGGUUGAAAUUCCUGUACUAUCCUGUAACAGAACUGUGGGGACACAGGCAGAGAGCGUGAGCCGGGAAUGGAAAGACCGGUACAAGCGAGGUAGGAGAAGAGUUGGCAAAUCCGCUCUUCAAUCUGAAGACGUGAUGUGGACUGAAAAUAAGUAGGGAAGCACGUGAGCUGACUGUCAAGAAAAGCCGCUAUUGUUUGCAGGAUACCCGUACCGUAAACCGACACAGGUGGAUGAGGAGAGAAUCCUAAGGCCGACGGGAGAAGCAUUGUUAAGGAACUCGGCAAAAUGACUCCGUAACUUCGGGAGAAGGAGUGCCAUGUAAAAGUGGCCGCAGAGAAUUGGCCCAAGCAACUGUUUAGCAAAAACACAGGUCUAUGCAAAACCGAAAGGUGAGGUAUAUGGGCUGACGCCUGCCCGGUGCUGGAAGGUUAAGGGGAGAGGUUAGCGCAAGCGAAGCUUUGAACUUAAGCCCCAGUAAACGGCGGCCGUAACUAUAACGGUCCUAAGGUAGCGAAAUUCCUUGUCGGGUAAGUUCCGACCCGCACGAAAGGCGUAAUGAUUUGGGCACUGUCUCAACAAUGCACCCGGUGAAAUUGAAAUACCAGUGAAGAUGCUGGUUACCUGCGCCAGGACGGAAAGACCCCAUGGAGCUUUACUCCAGCUUGAUACUGGGAUUCGGUAUUGCAUGUACAGGAUAGGUGGGAGGCUAGGAAAUGGUAACGCCAGUUGCCAUGGAGCCAAUGUUGGGAUACCACCCUUGCAGUACUGGGUUUCUAACCAGCAGCCGUGAUCCGGCUGGGGGACAAUGUCAGGUGGGGAGUUUGACUGGGGCGGUCGCCUCCGAAAGGGUAUCGGAGGCGCUCAAAGGUUCCCUCAGAAUGGUUGGAAACCAUUCGAAGAGUGCAAAGGCAGAAGGGAGCUUGACUGCGACACCGACGGGUGGAGCAGGUACGAAAGUAGGACUUAGUGAUCCGGUGGUAUAAAGUGGGAUUGCCAUCGCUCAACGGAUAAAAGCUACCCUGGGGAUAACAGGCUUAUCACUCCCAAGAGUUCACAUCGACGGAGUGGUUUGGCACCUCGAUGUCGGCUCAUCGCAUCCUGGGGCUGAAGUAGGUCCCAAGGGUUGGGCUGUUCGCCCAUUAAAGCGGUACGCGAGCUGGGUUCAGAACGUCGUGAGACAGUUCGGUCCCUAU
rnacentral:rRNA from 1 species